GACGAACGCUGGCGGCGUGCUUAACACAUGCAAGUCGAACGGGAUCCGGGCUUUCGGGUUUGGUGAGAGUGGCGAACGGGUGAGUAACACGUGAGUAACCUGCCCCCUUCUUUGGGAUAACGUCGGGAAAUCGGCGCUAAUACUGGAUAUUCUUGCUGCAUCGCAUGGUGUGGUUUGGAAAGGGUUUCUGGUGGGGGAUGGGCUCGCGGCCUAUCAGCUUGUUGGUGGGGUGAUGGCCUACCAAGGCUUUGACGGGUAGCCGGGCUGAGAGGGGGUCCGGCCACACUGGGACUGAGACACGGCCCAGACUCCUACGGGAGGCAGCAGUGGGGAAUAUUGCACAAUGGGCGCAAGCCUGAUGCAGCGACGCCGCGUGAGGGAUGACGGCCUUCGGGUUGUAAACCUCUUUCAGUAUGGAACAAGGAUCCUUCUUUUGGGGGGUUUGAGGGUACGUGCAGAAGAAGCGCCGGCUAACUACGUG
rnacentral:rRNA from 1 species